UACGAAGGGGGCUAGCGUUGCUCGGAAUUACUGGGCGUAAAGGGCGCGUAGGCGGCGCUGUUAGUCAGGCGUGAAAUUCCUGGGCUCAACCUGGGGACUGCGCUUGAUACGGCAGUGCUUGAGGAUGGAAGAGGCUCGCGGAAUUCCCAGUGUAGAGGUGAAAUUCGUAGAUAUUGGGAAGAACACCGGUGGCGAAGGCGGCGAGCUGGGUC
rnacentral:rRNA from 1 species